AGAGUUUGAUCCUGGCUCAGGAUGAACGCUGGCGGCAUGCCUAAUACAUGCAAGUCGAACGAGGAUCCUUCGGGAUCCUAGUGGCGAACGGGUGAGUAACACGUGGGUAACCUGCCCAAGAGACUGGGAUAACACCUGGAAACAGAUGCUAAUACCGGAUAACAACACUAGACGCAUGUCUAGAGUUUGAAAGAUGGUUCUGCUAUCACUCUUGGAUGGACCUGCGGUGCAUUAGCUAGUUGGUAAGGUAACGGCUUACCAAGGCAAUGAUGCAUAGCCGAGUUGAGAGACUGAUCGGCCACAUUGGGACUGAGACACGGCCCAAACUCCUACGGGAGGCAGCAGUAGGGAAUCUUCCGCAAUGGGCGAAAGCCUGACGGAGCAAUGCCGCGUGAGUGAAGAAGGCCUUCGGGUUGUAAAACUCUGUCCUUAUCGAAGAGAGGUAGGUAUGUGAAUAAUGUACCUAUAGGACGGUAGAUAAGGAGGAAGCCCCGGCUAACUACGUGCCAGCAGCCGCGGUAAUACGUAGGUGGCGAGCGUCAUCCGGAAUGAUUGGGCGUAAAGGGUGCGCAGGCGGUCUUGCAAGUAUGGAGUGAAACGCAUGAGCUCAACUCAUGCAUGGCUUUGGAAACUGGAGGACUGGAGAGCAGGAGAGGGCGGUGGAACUCCAUGUGUAGCGGUAAAAUGCGUAGAUAUAUGGAAGAACACCAGUGGCGAAGGCGGCCGCCUGGCCUGUUGCUGACGCUGAGGCACGAAAGCGUGGGGAGCAAAUAGGAUUAGAUACCCUAGUAGUCCACGCCGUAAACGAUGAGGACCAAGUGCUGGGGGUGAAACCUCAGUGCUGAAGUUAACGCAGUGAGUCCUCCGCCUGGGGAGUAUGCACGCAAGUGUGAAACUCAAAGGAAUUGACGGGGACCCGCACAAGCGGUGGAGUAUGUGGUUUAAUUCGAAGCAACGCGAAGAACCUUACCCGGCCUUGACAUCCUCCCGAAUGUAGAGUAAUGUCUGCAGCCUUUCGGGGCGGGAGAGACAGGUGGUGCAUGGUUGUCGUCAGCUCGUGUCGUGAGAUGUUGGGUUAAGUCCCGCAACGAGCGCAACCCUUACCCUUAGUAGCCAUCAUUAAGUUGGGCACUCUAGGGGGACUGCCGUGGAUAACACGGAGGAAGGUGGGGAUGACGUCAAAUCAUCAUGCCCCUUAUGUCUUGGGCUACACACGUGCUACAAUGGCUGGCAACAAAGUGAAGCGAGACGGCGACGUUAAGCAAAUCACAAAAACCCAGUCCCAGUUCGGAUUGCAGUCUGCAACUCGACUGCAUGAAGCUGGAAUCGCUAGUAAUCGCGAAUCAGAAUGUCGCGGUGAAUACGUUCCCGGGCCUUGCACACACCGCCCGUCA
rnacentral:rRNA from 1 species